AUGGAGAUGCUGCUCUCGACAAGGACGAUGAUGAUGACAUGGAGAACGUGCAACACGACACCGACGAUGAUGAACAUGUUGAAGUUUGUGCAGGUGGUAAAAAGGGCAAGGUUGCACCAGAUGUCCCCUCACCGGAGAAAGUCAAAGAACAUACAGCUGAGAGAGGCAAGGGGGUGUCGCCCUCAAAGAGGGGGAGGGCUCCAGAGGAUGUUGGGCAGGGCUCUCCUGGCAACAGGUCUUGGACCGAUCCCUUAG
rnacentral:rRNA from 1 species